UAAAAUAACCUAACUUAUUAUAUUAUUCAGAAUUUAGAUUUUAGAUUGAAAACUUUCAUAUUUAACUUAUCACCAUCAAAGGAAGUGGUAUACUUUGUAGUUAGGCCUCAGCGAAAAAAUUCAGAAGUCAAAAAACAACAUGAAGUUUAUGAAUACAAUUAUGCUGAUUGCAGUUAUCUUCUUGGUCGGCUCCGAAAUUACGGUUCAGCGGUGCGAUGCCAUUUGCAGUCAUUACCGAUGUCCAAAGAAUGAGAUUGCGGAAAAUUACUCGGAUUUGCUUCGUCGGAUGUUGGAUAUAAAGAAAAGAGUCGACGAGGAACAACAAUAUGAGAAUUACUUUGAUUAGUAAUGACUACUCUUUGCAAUACUAAAAAUGACGUAAAAUUACCGUGAAUUGGCUGAAAUUGAAACUUCUGAUUUUACAUAUUUUUCUAUUUGAGAUUCACUUGAUUUGCAAUGUUUUUAUGACCAAUGAAUUUCUUCACAAUUUCAUUUGCUAUUGUUACAGGCUUGUGUAUUUUUGAAUUCCAUCGACAUGUCAUUCUUUUGUUUGUUUCGACAUGAAAACUUAAUCUCCAAGGAUAAAUAUAUAAUCAAGUUUCCGAUUUUUUAUUAAUUUUAUUUUUGCUAAGUGUACGAAAUUGACUUCAAAAAUAUUGAUUACAGUUCGAAAAACUACAAAUUUAGUAUGAAAAAUAUGUACAAACUAAAACUCACUUCAUUUUAGGUUUGUAUUUGACACUAAAAUUUAUUGAAAAAUAUUUUGUGCCUGUUUUGUUUAAAGUAUCGUAAUUGUUGAGUAAACGUUCAAGGAAAUUAAAUUCAGUACACAUUU